UCCCACAUUCCUGAGAAUACUCAGAAAGACCCUCACAAACCCCGACCUGAGGUCUUACCCAUGCCAUAAAAAUUAACUGAUGACUAACCUCCACCUCAGAUUCUAUUCCAUCUCUAAAUGGUAAGACUUGGUAGGAUUCCAAGUGAGGCUCAGUUUUUCAUUGGUUGAGGAAGUCAUUAUUUUAAGAUUAAAAAAAAAAUGGGACCAGAACAGGGAUCAAAGUGGAGGAACUGAGGCGUUUGCUGCUUAGGGUUAGGGCUUGGCGGCAGGGAGGCUCUCAGCAGAGAGUGAGAGGGGCGUCUUCUACAUUCACCAGGACAGGAAUCAGGCAAGCACGGACGAAGCCCUUAUCCUGGCAAGGAAGGGAGUGUGACUGGCUAGGACGUCUGCUGUCUGCAGCCAGCAGGAGACUGGAUGGAGGGGAGGCCCGCAAAGCAGGGAUCCCCGAGCCAGAGCAGCACCCAACCGUCAGAGAGGCAGGCCGGUGGGGGGCUGCAUAAGCACCGUCCAGCCAUGCCCUCCCAAGUCUGCUACAGUAGGACAGACCAGCCAACGGCGGCAUUAGCGUGCAGCCAGGGACUGAAAAGCGCUGACUGGUCACAUGAGGAUAAACGCUUGCAGAAGCCAGUGUCUCCCUCCAUCACUCACUGCAAAGAUCCUCCCUGGGUUCAUCAGAGGACCAAACACCAGGACCCACCAACUCCAAACCCGUAGAGAAUGCAUGCAUCACCUCACACUGGGCUCAGAUGGCCCUGUGAUUAUUCCCCAUGUGGCUCGGCACACUAUCUCACCAACCAUAAUUACCCUAAGGACUGAGAAUGAAUUUUCUUAAUGGGGUGCUAGAGGCAAACCCUCUAAUAACACAGCUUCUACGCCCAGUAAGUGCUCACUAAAUACUUCCAGAAGAAUGAAUGUACAUACAGAAGAGUUGUGGCUUUCCCCAAGGGCGUUUUUAAAGAGUUAAACAUGCUUAUGAAACCUAUUUAAAAUAUUUAUCUUAGUCAUUCAGAAAGUAUUUUUAUUGGACACGCUCCUGGUAUUUAAAACGCAGUCAACUUAUUAAAAAGAAGGUGACUAACGCAAUGGUAUGGGUGCACGUGGCAAAGCGCUUGUGGAGAAUGCAGUAAGAGCAUGGUUACGCAAGUACACAGACUCACACACAGGCGUGUGCUGAUCCAGAAAUGAAGCAGAAGCACCAGAACUGUGCUCUCUGCAGAAACGUGCCCAGGGGGUGAAGGGCUCUCUGACUACUCACGGCAAUUGGCCUCGUCCCGGCCAUCCUGGCAAUCUUGGUGGCCGUCACAGCGCUUCCAGUUGGGAAUACACGUCUUCGGUUGGUGGCAUUCGAACUCAAAUCGGUCACAUCGCCCAAGUUGGGUGGGAGUGGAGGCAGCAGUGACGUUUGCUAAAAUAAAAGAUUUUUAAAAUUUACUUUUUAAUAUUGAGGGAGCUGGCCAAUAACAGCAACCAAUCAAUAUGCUAGGAGAUUACGGUGCUUUAGAAAUUACAAUGGGAACCUGAAGACAAAUGCGAGUUCCGGAUAGAGAGCAGAGUAGAUACAGACAUCUAAUGUUGCUUCCCCACAGGAUCCCACUAAAGCCACAGUCAAGAGAUUGUUUUCAAAGACCUAAAUCCACGAGGACAUGGAUAAUGAGAUUUGGGAGCUGGAAAGAAGACAGAUAGCGGUAUGUGACUAAAGAGGCCAGCGAAGGCUGCGUCCUACCCUAAGCCGUCACAGGAGAAAGCUCAGAACCAAUCAGAUCAACAACACACAGUCCUCCAAAAGUUCAGAAACUGGCAUCUAACUGGAAGUGAAGAAGGAGUUAAAAUAAGGGAACUGACUGAAUGAUGUUUAAGACGCAGCUACAUUCCUUAUAUCCCCUCCUAUCAGUCCCACGAGGCAACCAACCCAUACGUCACCCCAAUAGAAGAAUGGAGGGUUGUUAUUUGGAGAAAGUAAAAACAGAGAGUUGUUUAGAUAGGCGUAGUUGACAGCAAGUAUAUCCUACUGAUAAAAGGGGGAUUAAACCUACAUAUGGAAGUCCCAGUCCUCUUCUCCGAGGAUCCUAGCAAUAAGGUAAUUAUUGUCUAGGCAGGAGAUCUAAUAAUCUUCUCUGGGGAAAAUGACCAGCUUCAGAGACUAACCCUGAAGUAACCAAGAUUCAGAGUUCCCCCAUGGUUCCCAGCCAUGAACCUCGAAGUUGACAAGCCCACCCAUGUGCUCAGAAUUACUUACCAGCACUUUAGUCCCCAGCCUUAAAUACAAGCAGCAACCAAGAACUAUCUGAGAAAAGGCUUUGACAUGAAAGGCAGAAAGCCAAACAGAGCCCUAACCCCCAAAAAGGCCAUUUGGAGGAAAUAGAGGCUUUGCAAGAAGAAAACUUCAAAAACAAAUAUCCUUAAUACGUUCAGAAAGAAAGAAUAUAUUAUUUAUCCAAGAAAAAAAGAAAACAGGAUACCAUAAAAAGGGACAGUGGUAAAAAUGGAGAAGCUCUUAAAGUUAAAACCAUGACAACAAAGAUGAAAAACUCAGCAAAGAGUUGAAAUAUAAAGUUGAGUAAAUCUCCUAGAAAAUUGGGGGGGUGGGGGAAGGGAAUUUUCAAAACUAUAAAAGAUUAAACAAAAAAAUAAGGAAGAAGACCAGAUCAGGAGACAAUAUAUGAAUGACAAGAGUUCCAGGAAAUAAGAGAAAACAGAGAGGGAAAUAUCAUUAA
rnacentral:lncRNA from 10 species